rnacentral:rRNA from 1 species
UUCCAGACUCCUACGGGAGGCAGCAGUGGGGGAUAUUGCACAAUGGGGGGAACCCUGAUGCAGCGACGCCGCGUGGGUGAAGGAGCGUUUCGGCGCGUAAAGCCCUAUCGGCAGGGAAGAAGGAGGACGGUACCUGACUAAGAAGCCCCGACUAACUACGUGCCAGCAGCCGCGGUAAUACGUAGGGGGCAAGCGUUAUCCGGAUUUACUGGGUGUAAAGGGGGCGCAGACGGCAGCGCAAGCCAGGAGUGAAAGCCCGGGGCCCAACCCCGGGACUGCUCUUGGAACUGCGCGGCUGGAGUGCAGGAGGGGCAGGCGGAAUUCCUGGUGUAGCGGUGAAAUGCGUAGAUAUCGGGAGGAACACCAGUGGCGAAGGCGGCCUACUGGGCACUAACUGACGCUGAGGCUCGAAAGCAUGGGUAGCAAACAGGAUUAGAUACCCUUGUA